GACCGCGUAGCUCAGUUGGAAGAGCAUUUGGCUGGUAUUCCAAAGGUCGUAGGUUCGAAUCCCACCGUGGCCG
rnacentral:tRNA from 1 species